CUAGCCGUAAACGAUGGGUACUAGGUGUGGGAGGUAUCGACCCCUUCCGUGCCGGAGUUAACGCAAUAAGUACCCCGCCUGGGGACUACGAUCGCAAGAUUGAAACUCAAAGGAAUUGACGGGGGCCUGCACAAGCGGUGGAGCAUGUGGUUUAAUUCGAAGCAACGCGCAGAACCUUACCAACGUUUGACAUCCUUAUCGCGAUUAGCAGAGAUGCUUUUCUUCAGUUCGGCUGGAUAAGUGACAGGUGC
rnacentral:rRNA from 1 species